ensembl:lncRNA
UCUGGUGACUGUUUACCCAGUUUUCCAAUUAUAGUACAGUUUCUCAGUUCUUUGCUUAUCUAGUUAAAGGUAUUAGAAAAAGAGACUGCACAACGCUGUGCAAAAUAUAAAAAAAAAGAAUUAUAAAUACCUUAGGUUUCAUUCAUUCUUGUCUUAGCAAACAUAAUGCUGUGUUCUUAUUAAGUGGAAAAGAAGUAAAGCGAGACCAACUUAAGAAAACCUCUAUCUCAAUGAGCCUUCAAAUCUGUAUUUAACUGUAGAACUCUGAACUGCCUGGCAUCCCAACAUUGAUAACCAGUGGGAGAUUAAAUGCUACUCCUUGUUCCAAGAUGACACCAAGAUGUGUAGCACAGCUAUCUGUAAAUGAAAAUAAAAUUCAAGUGCUGCCAGAAUUUAUUUCUCUGGCAAACAACAACAGACACUUUGCCAAAUGUAUUCCGAAUGACAAUGCACUUUUUUCUCAUGAUGGGAUACAUUAUGAAAUUCUUCACUGUUCAGUAGUUUAGUCAAUCGUUUCUUUGUUGCUUCAUGUGAAAAUGUUUGCAGGUGAGUAAAAUAAUAAACUUCUUCCCAGUAGCGCUGCCAAUUCAUGAUACUGCCAGCUGAUAGCACUUUACAGCAAUUGUUACAACUCCUUUCAAUUGAACUUGAGGAGAGCUGACCCAGAGCUACGUUACUCUUUUGUCAAAGUCUUCAUACCCUAAGAUCUGUGAAGUCUGAACAAGAAUAUGCAGUUUGCCACUAGUAGCCUUUAUCUUUCUGAGCUUGAAGUGUUGACAACUACAAGAAUCUGUGCUGCUGUAGUCAUGGAGGUACUGCUGUUAACUCUAUCACAGCCUGUACUUGUCAUGUGCUGGAAACCUCCAUGGCUGCGAGUACCUGGACAGAGAAACACUUCAGUUUUUCUUAUUUAUGUUGUAAGCCUAGUUCAAGGACUUUCAUCUACACAAAGAAUUCUUCCUGAGUGGACUUGCACAAUACACAGUCUUCUGAUAUGCUGUGCAAAUUAAUUUUCAGACUACCCCUCCAGAGACAAUUUUCGUGUAUUGUGUCUUUGCUAAACUGCAAUACAAGUUAUCCUUUACUCGUCACCUUGUCUUGAUUCUUUUUAAAUCCAAAACCAUUCCUCUCCAAAUUUCUUUGCUGUAGACUUUGCAACUAGUUCUGUACGUACUUCCAGCAUAUCGUCCAUCAGUGGUUAUCUGUUGCUACUUAAGAAGUAAGACAGACAGUCAUGCAACCUCUAGAAGUAGCGAAUCAUUUCUAACCUGCAUGCUACUCAUUUCCUAAAUGAGUUAGUUGGUAUAAAGCUGUGUAUUCUUCCUUUGUCAAAAAUUCCUGAAAUAAUCUCUCAUGGAGCAGUCUCACAAAGUACCAAGUAUGUCAGUUCAUCUCUGUUUAAACUGAAACCGGAGAACUCGGCUCCCUGUCAGUUUAAACCAAUACUGACUGAUGCACCUCACCCUGCAGAGUACGCCAGUGUGAGGGUGUAAGAACCCCUCUGGAUGCUCUUGUCUCUGCGGCAACUGGAAGGGAGCAGCCUAAUCCUAGGACAACAGCAGCUUUCUGCUCUUAACAUUGUUUAUUUCUUGUUAUCAUUUGUUUUUUGUUUUUUGUUUUUUUUGUUUGUUUGUUUGUUUUUUUACUGUGCUUUCCCUAUGGAAUACACAACAUAUGACAAAGCUUUUCAGCAAUAUCCUUUGACUGUUUGGCAUGCUUAGCUUAGUUGCCUGCCUUAAACUGUUACUACUGCUUGCUUUUAAUCUUUUCCAGCCAAAAAUUGCUCCUCUCACCUCCUAGUUAUCAGUUCUCCACAGAAUUUGUUCUUGCUUCUGUUCCUCGGACAAAUUCCAGAAGAUAAGUGAGGUGAGCAGGCACAAUGAAGGUGUUAUCAAACUCUGCAUGUGUAUUUCCAAGAGAACCACAAAACCAUCUCUUGUUCUACUUGGAAGUAACAAAAAUGAGAUAACUGUGGCUAAUUAUGGAGAGAGAUACUCCCCAAAUCUGGAUUUACGUAAUUCUGUCUCCAUUCACUGUACCAGUCUGGCUUGUGUUGAAGGGGGCUGAAACAGAAGAUGGGCCUGAACUUGGCAGAGCAACUCAGUUCAGAAAUAUAUCCCUAUUCUAUCAGCAAACAAAAGGCUGAAAUGUAUGAAAAGCAGCUGUGAAACAUCGUAAGGAGAGGAAAAAAUUGUACCAUAAAAAUAGGACAACCAUAUUUUCCACAAACUUCUCAAGUCAUCUGGAGGAUGUUUAUCUGGAAACAAACACUGC